GACGAAGGGGGCUAGCGUUGUUCGGAAUUACUGGGCGUAAAGCGCGUGUAGGCGGUUGUCCAAGUUGGAUGUGAAAUCCCCGGGCUCAACCCGGGAACUGCGUCCGAUACUGGAAGGCUUGAAUCCGGGAGAGGGAUGCGGAAUUCCAGGUGUAGCGGUGAAAUGCGUAGAUAUCUGGAGGAACACCGGUGGCGAAGGCGGCAUCCUGGACCGGCAUUGACGCUGAGGCGCGAAAGCCAGGGGAGCAAACGGG
rnacentral:rRNA from 1 species